rnacentral:tRNA from 1 species
AUUAAUUAUUUUUAAAAAAUAAAUAUCUAAAUUUUAAGUAUAUCAUUUACAAUGAUAAGAUGUUUUAAAAACUUUAUU